GCAGAGCUUCCCCAGAAGAUUGGAGGGGAUGAGUCAGGGGCAAGGAAGGAUUAACAGAUUCUGCAUCAAGGCCUGUUGAACCAAGUCCUCUCCCCAAGACAGACACAUACUAGUCAAAUAAAUUAGAUUUAAAUCAUCACCUGAGGCAAUCCUGAAAGAGAAAAGCAGUCCUAGAAAAGAGUGGAGGAAAAGAGGACAGCCCCAUUCUCUUUGUGACCACGAAGACUGCUGCCAUGUGGAUGGGAGCCACAUGACUGCUUUUAGCACCAGCUGAGAUUCUUCUGCCCUGGAACUAGUUCCUCCGAGUUAUUCCCAGGCCUGGAGAUUUAAUUCCUGCACCUGGAAGUUGCCAGAGCGAAGGAAGCAAAAGCAUCCAUUAUGAGAUUCACCAGAAGGGUAUGACCAGCUUUAGAAGGAGAAUCCUGGACAACAACACACGCAGCUGUGAAGGCCACAAGUGUGACACCCAAAGCCAAGUGAAAUGGAAGGAAUGUGAAGAUGCUGUCAUAAACAUUUCUACCUCAUAUGACAGCUUUAACAAUACUUUCAAGGUUGUCAUGGAAUAAGCCAAGGAAAGGGGAACUGCAAAAGAAAAGCUUUCAGGAACAGCCACCACCAAGAUUGUUAUUCUGAUAACGAAAAACUGAAUAAUACAUUCGGUAUAAAGUGUAAUGCAAUCUAAAGUUCAUUGGUUGCACCAA